GACGAACGCUGGCGGCGUGCCUAAUACAUGCAAGUAGAACGCUGAAACUUGGUGCUUGCACCGAGCGGCUGAGUUGCGAACGGGUGAGUAACGCGUAGGUAACCUGCCUGGUAGCGGGGGAUAACUAUUGGAAACGAUAGCUAAUACCGCAUAAGAGUAGAUGUUGCAUGACAUUUGCUUAAAAGGUGCAAUUGCACCACUACCAGAUGGACCUGCGUUGUAUUAGCUAGUUGGUGGGGUAACGGCUCACCAAGGCGACGAUACAUAGCCGACCUGAGAGGGUGAUCGGCCACACUGGGACUGAGACACGGCCCAGACUCCUACGGGAGGCAGCAGUAGGGAAACUUCGGCAAUGGACGGAAGUCUGACCGAGCAACGCCGCGUGAGUGAAGAAGGGUUUCGGAUCGGAAAGCUCUGUUGUAAGAGAAGAACGAGUGUGAGAGUGGAAAGUUCACACUGUGACGGUAUCUUACCAGAAAGGGACGGCUAACUACGUG
rnacentral:rRNA from 1 species